ensembl:lncRNA
UGGUGUAGAUGUUCGUAAACAUAAAAUAUGAGAUGCGAAAUUUCAGAUUUGACUCUUUUUAAAGUUAAUUAUGCACCAGUUAGAAAAGUGAUUUAAAACCAGUAAGUAUCUUACACACUGAGAAAGCACACAGGUGCAGGUCAGAAGCAGGUUUCAGGUUUAUUGAAUAAGUUGCCAUGCAGUUAGUCAGGACGUGACAGAUGGACUCUACAUGAUGAGAAACGGGGACACACCUCCAGUCGUCAGCUGGAUCUUAACGAUUCAACACAUUAAUGUACGUCGCUGCAGAGAUGCAGACUUGGGCUACGUUCACACUGCAGGUGAAAGCGCAUCAAAUCCGACUUCUUUGACCCUGUGCGACGUGUAUCCGAUCGUAGUGUGGCAGUGUGAACGGCACAAAUCCGAUCUGGGUCACUUUCGUAUGUGGUCCUGAAUCUGAUACGUAUCUGAUGUUUCAGAAAGCGACUGCUGUUUAAUGGUCAUGUCGCAUUAAAUACGUCUUUUACGUCACUGACACAAGACGGACGCCAAUUAACAGCGCCAGAGAAGACAUCGUGAACGCUUCCUGGCCAUCCAGUGAAACUGUUGGGAACAAUGUUGGAGAAACGUGAACAUUUUCUUUGUACUGUAUAAUCUGCAGAUUCUGACAGAAAUCUGCAGCUAUCCUUUGAAGCAGCGCUCCUCUGAAACAGCAAUAAGGAUCAUUAUUAGGCCAAAUGUAGAUAACACAAUAACUUUAUAACUUAAAGCAAAAUUGGGAAACGUAAAGUCUGAAACAGUCAAACAUACUGUUGCUCUGGGUCUAAACAGAGCGCGUUGUGUGUGACGUCUUCCUUUGCGCAUGCGGCUGCUUUCAGGGUUCACACUAGAGCGCGUUUGCUGUCACAUUUUAUUUGUAGUGUGAACAAGCAGACAAAGAAAUCGGAUUUGAUCCAAAAAUCAGAAUUGAGCUGUAAGACCUGCAGAGUGAACGUAGCCUAACAACAGCUGCAGGAGAGGGCCAAUAGUGUUUGAGUGCCCAAUCACCAGGAGUACAUAAAGUCAACCUCAUGAUUCAGUGGCUUCAUGGACCCCACCGCUCUCGUGUAUUUACACUAAUCUUCAUAUAAAAGUGCUUUUCCACAUAAUCCGACUUCAUAAGCACGCGGUAUGAUUUGGGGUAAAUGACUUGUUGAUCUCACGCGUCCUCCUCCCGUCUCCUGAGAUGAUGCUGUUUGUGAAUUACCUCAGAAAUCACUCAAAGUGUUUUCAUAUAAUGUUUCUUCACACAGUGAAAAGUAUCGUUGACCGUGACGUUAGCGUCGUUAGCAUUUCCCAUAGAAAUUCCUCAAAAACCAAACACUAACAUGGCUGCUGUAUGACUCCGUGUUUUAGUAAAAUAUUAACAACAAAGAAUCCUCACAAACGACAGAAACGUUUCAUAAAUGCACUUUUUCACACUGACUGUGUUCAGAGCUGAUGACAGAAAGGCAAUGAGGAUGUUCAGCGGCAGGGAUGAGUUUCAACCAUCCGUUCUCCCCACUAGCCUCCAAACUGCAACUAACCCAUCAUUUGGCUCGACUUUACGGGCGUCUCCAGCUUGUCAAACAGCAGUAUCACUCCCCAAUGAUUUUACAUUUUAAAGAGCCCCUCUGUAGGAGACGGGACUUGAAAUGUAAAUAAAUGCAGAUGAGCGAGGGGUACUGGAGUGUUGAAACUUGUCCCUGGAGCCGUCAAACCGAGGAUAUAAAAAGCACUUCUGAGGUCCCACCGUCCCUCCUGUUGCAUUGAUAAGUUUGUACCUUCUGUACGUCUCAAGGCAUCGAUUUUUCUCACGGGAAACAAACUCGGUUCGUGUACAGAUUCACAAAUAACGAACGACAAAGAAUGCAAAGAGCGUUUGCUAAUCUGGUAAACUUUAGACACAGCUGCACGUAAAAUAGUGAGCUAGUUAGCAGACGGUAACGUGGCGCUGCGUUCACGACAACAGAACUGUGGUUGUCCUUUUACAGUGGUCAGAAAACGACUACAAACACUGGCUUUAUUCCAGAAAGACCCAGUUCACUGUCCGCCGGCUCAGCGUCCCCCUUUUCACAGUUAAACAUUCACUAAUAAACAAGAAUAAAAACAAAACAGAAAAUAAAACUGUCAUAAUGUCCGAGCGUCAGGUGACCAGAUUUUAGCCCCGACCUGAUGUUAGCUGAUUACCAUUCGUGUGGAAUAACUAACCAAAUUGGAAAGAUUUUGUGUCUUGCUACCUGCUAAUAAUCAAGUGCAUCUGAGAGUAAAAUUAUAUUUUAAUCGUUUUAGAGGAAACUGCCACUAUAACACUUCUUUCACUGAAAUUAGCUCCAGCUAACUGCUCAUCUCUACAAAUGUAACGCUGCAUUAGCUUACCGUUUAGCUAGCUGUAAAAAUGCUUUAUGUUUGAUUUCAGUCAUAACUGGAACUGCAGCUCAAAGCCAGCCUCCAGUGAACUGCUGCUGCCCUUAAACAGCGGGGAAAGUUGCUAUUUACAGAAAUGACAACUGUUAGCUAGCAAACGCUAUCCGAAACGUUCUCAUUUAGUGCGUCAGGUAGAGGUGCUGUGUAGAAAUACACAGGAAGCCGUUUCUAUGUGUAAGACGCUGAAAUAAAGCCAGUGUUCCAGCAUUAGAGCGACAUCAGCAGCAGCUGCUAAAACCGCUAGCUUUCGCUCAACAGCGAGAACACGUCUAAAACAUUCACGUGUUCAGGAAACUGAUCGUCAGUCUCAAAGAACCCAAGCUCGGCGUGCACAGAACCGCCUCUUCUGACUGGCCAGCAUUAACCAAGGGAAUUGGGGCCAAUCAGAGAGGAACACUGCUGAGCUCUUAGUACGUAAAUACAGACUCACAUAACAAUAACGCGUUUAGUCCAAAGUGAUAAUAAUAAGUAUACUUCUCCUGAUAAGAACCCUUUGGCUCAGAACGGCCACUUACUGUACACUGACAUUGUCACUGUAUAAUUUCUAGCAUGUGCACCGAGUUGACAGAAACACAUGAACAACAAAACUUCAGUAACUUUUUUUCAGAAAUUGAAAUUGGACCUAAAAAGAUGUUGUAACAAACAUUAAAAUAAAAUAAAAAAAAAUUUCACCAGACACUCGUCACAUUGAUAAAGGUUUAGUAUUUUCUUACACUAACAAGACAAAACUGUUUUAUAAAAGCUCUCAAAGGCAACUUACUGUGUUUUUUGUGCUGAUGCUAGUUGGUCAAAGGUUUAAACGGAAAGUGCAGUUCAGAAGAAAGUGCUGCCCCUCUACAGACUACUGCAAGUCAGCCAAUCAGACGAAAGUAGGCUUAUAGAGAGACAGCAACUAAAAUGGCGUGUUUGUUAUCUUGUUACAAAACGUACUUAUUUUAGAGAGGAAUAAAUAAAAAAAAGUAACUUGGCGAAAAGUUUUAGCCAAGACACUGUCAGGUUAAUUGCCAACAAACUGCAAUGAGGGAAGAAUCAACUUAAGUGUAUAAUAAACGUAUACUCUCUGCUGCUAGUAGUUUAGUGGUUAUUAGCUAGUGAGAGAGCAUAAGCUGUAUACUACAGCAGUGAAAGAGUAAUGUUAUUAGGAAAUGAGGACAGGACUCAUUUAUUUCUUUGAUUAGCCUUAGCUAGGUUACCGUAGCUCAGGGGGUUGGGAAUCGCACCUGUAACCGGAAGGUCGCCGGUUCGAUCCCUGGGCUCUCUGUCCUGGUCGUUGUGUCCUUGGGCAAGACACUUUACCCUACUUGCCUACUGGUGUUGGCCAGAGGGGCCGAUGGCGCGAUAUGGCAGCCUGGCUUCUGUCAGUCUGCUCCAGGGCAGCUGUGGCUACACCUGUAGCUGCCUCCACCAGUGUGUGAAUGUGAGAGUGAAUGAAUAGUGGCAUUGUAAAGCGCUUUGGGUGCCUUGAAAAGCGCUAUAUAAAUCCAAUCCAUUAUUAGGUAUUAAUUUUGUUAGCU